rnacentral:rRNA from 1 species
CAACCGCCGCGGGAAUACGUAGGUGGCAAGCGUUGUCCGGAAUUAUUGGGCGUAAAGGGCUCGCAGGCGGUUUCUUAAGUCUGAUGUGAAAGCCCCCGGCUCAACCGGGGAGGGUCAUUGGAAACUGGGAAACUUGAGUGCAGAAGAGGAGAGUGGAAUUCCACGUGUAGCGGUGAAAUGCGUAGAGAUGUGGAGGAACACCAGUGGCGAAGGCGACUCUCUGGUCUGUAACUGACGCUGAGGAGCGAAAGCGUGGGGAGCGAACAGGAUUAGAGACCCCAGUAGUCCCUGUCUCUUAUAA